CACAGGACACGAAGCACAUCGCAUGGCUCUGUGCAGCCCUCCAGAGUGGGCUCUGAACCCAGCUGGGUAUGCCGGGCUCUGCAGGAGCCCCCUUGGCCCCCAGCACCCCUCUCCCAGGGGAGGCAGGGGUGGGAGGCUGCAGCUGUACGCUCUCCCCUUCUCCCCACACGGGGAUCCCUGAGGUCGGGGCGAUGCUGCAGCAGCACGUGCCGUGCCAGGAAGUGCGCCAGACCUGGCCUGGAGCCGGGGAGGUGCCGGGCAAGUGGACGCUGCAGCUCCACUUUGGAAUUCCAGGCACAUCCAGAGGCUGUGGGGUUGAAGCCAAGCUGCACGGCCGAAAGAGGCCAGAGCGGACACCCCCCGGCACCUGCUGCGGCACCGGCAGUAGGGUGGGUGCUGUGGGUGCCUAAGGGACCCCCGCCUGGCCUUUACCCCUGUUCUCAUGCCUCCCAGGGCUCCCUGCCCCCUGCCUGCAGGAUCACAGCUCCACAGCUCAGUUCUGUGGCUCAGUGCCUCAGCCUUCAGGUCCUGUUUUUGAGCCCCCAGUGGGGGGGCCUACCUGGCGGGUGGAUGCUCCCUUGAAGAAUCCAGGCAUGGCCGAUUCCUCCCUGUAGGUCCAGGCCCAGACCAGGAAAUGGAACGUAACAUGUUCAUUUUGUUCCAAACACCAGAAGAGCACUGAGUAUCUGAGUGUGACUGGCUUGAUUUUUAUAGAUGGAAACUGAGGCUACCCAGCUCCUGAGGAGCGAAGCAGUGCUGACCCAUCACCAG